GCUCCAGACACUAUAUCCAGAUGCAGAAAACUAGAAGACAUCUUUAGCUACAUCUGCCCCAGCAUGAGUAUCUGAAGCAGCUGCCCCCACCUGCUCUUCCCAGAAGAGAGAAGAGAGCUAGAAAAUCUAACUCCUGUCCCUAUCCUGUCACUAACAAGCUGUGGGAGCCCUUAGCUGGUUGUGCUCUCUCUUGCCACACUCCUAACAUGAGGAGUAGAGUCAAUCAAGUUGGAGGAUCCUCAGAGCUUUCCAGCUCCAACAUUGUAAGCUCUUAGUGAAGUAAGAAAUGACAGCAGGAACAUGAAGAUGCUUCCUCUUAUGCUUUUUUUCCUCUCUGUGUAAGUACAUUGCUGUGUGCAUGUGUGUCCAUAGAUGAGUACACAGGAGUGAGUAUUUGCACAGGUAUGUACGUUAGUAUGUAGGUGCAUGAUUUUGUGUGUGUGUUUGCAUGUGCUGGGGUUAUGCCAGGAGAACCAGAUUCAUACGUGGACUAUAUGGAAAGCAGCAUUUCCCCCAAGUAUGCACAAACAUGAAAAAUUACUGUCCAGUAAGUUGGGAAAUAGACAAGUGGGCUGAAAUACACUUUCUUCCUGAGGAACUUCUCAAAGGUGUUCAUAUCUUCAUGUGCACUGUGAAGAUUCAGUGUGAUAAUAUCCUGGGUAUUCAUGGAACAAUGUGAGGACACAGCAGGAUGAAGGUACCAGGACACUUUUUCAUGCACAAUGGCACCUACAAAUGAAAGAGUCAAGACUGAACCCUCUGCAUCUCCUCACUCUUGUCCCUGUAACCAAUGUUCCCAACAGGAAUCACAUUCCCCCCAUGCAGUACCAGCCCAAACCAGCAGGGGUCUGACAUUAGUUGCUUUUAACCCAAAAUGACCAUCUCGGCUCCGAUGGCUGUGAAUGAACCUGAGGAGAUGGCAGGAAGUGGCAAGAAUCCAACCUAUCCACAUUCAAAAGCAUAUCUUCAACAGGCUGUCAGACAGAGAAAAUCCAACUGCUUUCACCUUCACCACAACCUGAAGAGCGAGGUACUGUUAUUUUUCUAGAUGAGGAAGUAACUCUUAGGCACAGAGAAACUGGCUUCCCCGACUUCACACAACUGUAUGUAUAGUCCUGGAGCUGCGAUUUGUACCCAGGCAACCUGAUCCCUACCUGGCUCACAAAAACCACGGACACCAAGUGCAAAACCCUCCUGACUUGCCCCAGAGGAAGGACUCCAUGACUUCUCUGCAGGAACCCAGGGUAGUUGUGAGGGCUAAACAAAAAGGAAUAUGUCACUAUACCUUGGAAAGUAAGGGAUCAUGUUACAGGUUUUUAAAAAGUAAAAUGCAAUGUGAUUCAAAAGAACUGUAUAGACAUGAUAAUGUUGAU